GAUGAACGCUGGCGGUAUGCCUAACACAUGCAAGUCGUACGAGAGUUUUUAACUCAAGUGGCGGACGGGUGAGUAACACGUGAGAAUUUGCCUUUAGGAGGGGGACAACAACUGGAAACGGUUGCUAAUACCCCAUAUGCUUUCGAGUGAAAUGAAUUUAUUCGCCUAAAGAGAAGCUCGCGGCUGAUUAGCUUGUUGGUAGGGUAAGAGCCUACCAAGGCGACGAUCAGUAUCUGGUUUGAGAGGACGAUCAGACACACUGGAACUGAGACACGGUCCAGACUCCUACGGGAGGCAGCAGUGGGGAAUUUUCCGCAAUGGGCGAAAGCCUGACGGAGCAAUACCGCGUGAGGGAAGACGGCCCAUGGGUUGUAAACCUCUUUUUUCAGGGAGGAAUAAAUGACGUGUACCUGAAGAAUAAGCAUCGGCUAACUCCGUGCCAGCAGCCGCGGUAAGACGGAGGAUGCAAGUGUUAUCCGGAAUCACUGGGCGUAAAGCGUCUGUAGGUGGUUAAACAAGUCAACUGUUAAAUCUUGAGGCUUAACUUCAAAAUCGCAGUCGAAACUAUUUGACUAGAGUAUAGUAGGGGUAAAGGGAAUUUCCAGUGGAGCGGUGAAAUGCGUAGAUAUUGGAAAGAACACCGAUGGCGAAGGCACUUUACUGGGCUAUUACUGACACUCAGAGACGAAAGCUAGGGUAGCAAAUGGGAUUAGAUACCCCAGUAGUCCUAGCCGUAAACAAUGGAUACUAGAUGUUGAACAGAUCGACCUGUGCAGUAUCAAAGCUAACGCGUUAAGUAUCCCGCCUGGGAAGUAUGCUCGCAAGGGUG
rnacentral:rRNA from 1 species